UACAGAGGGUGCGAGCGUUAAUCGGAAUUACUGGGCGUAAAGCGCGCGUAGGCGGCUUUGCACGUCGCUUGUGAAAUCCCCAGGCUUAACCUGGGAACUGCAUUCGAGACUGCAUAGCUAGAGUAUGGGAGAGGGAAGUGGAAUUUCAGGUGUAGCGGUGAAAUGCGUAGAUAUCUGAAGGAACAUCAGUGGCGAAAGCGACUUCCUGGACCAAUACUGACGCUCAUGUGCGAAAGCGUGGGGAGCAAACAGG
rnacentral:rRNA from 1 species